CGUAAUUUUUUUUUAUAAAAAGCAUGUAGAUUUUUUGGAAGUAUUACUCAGGAAUUUUUCUGCGCUCACUAAUGGUGACGAGCUGGACGAGCUGGAGACGAAGGCAAUCACGAAUGAAUGAGGCUGCUCCCAUUACGAACUAUAUGCUCCUCAAGAACUUAUGCAUUUACCCCCGAAGUCCAACUUACGCCGACGGCGAAAAAUCGGCCGCCGCCGGCAAACUCCAACUUUUACAUCACCCUCCUCAACCAAUGCGCCGCGGAGAAAUCCAUAACCCAAACAAGACGAGUCCAGCUUCACAUGAAGCAGACUGGCUUUCCCCAUCUCAGCCUCGGAAACAAGCUAAUUUCUGCUUAUUUGAGCUCUGGAAGCGUCGACGACGCACGCAAUGUGUUUGACGAUAUGCCGCAACCACACGUGGUUUCGUGGAGCUCCAUGAUAUCUUCCUACAUCCGCCAAGAAAGGCCUCAAGAGGCUGUUGCUCUGUACAAAAGGAUGAUGAUUGAAAAUUUAGUGCCGGAUGAGUUCACUUUCUCGAGCAUUUUCAGAGCUUUCUCUGAUCUGCGACUUUUUAAUGGAGGCCGAGCUGCUCACGGUCAGUCUGUGGUCUUCGGUUUACAAGCCGGAAAUGUCUAUGUAAGCAGCUCUUUGGUGGAUUUUUAUGCUCAAUUUGGAAGAUUGGGAGAAGCUCGCAUCGUCUACGAUUCGGUGAAGGCCAAAGAUGUUGUCUUGUCAACAGCUUUGAUAGUAGGUCACACGAAGAAUGGCGAAGAUCGACAAGCUAUAUUAGUAUUUGGAGAAAUGUUGAACAGUUACAUUCAAGCAAAUGACUUCACGUUUGCUAGUGUUCUAAUAGCAUGUGGGAAUUUGAAGGACUUGACCUCUGGAAGACUGAUUCAUGGCGCCAUCCUUAAAUCUGGAUUUGGUUCUUGGAUUGCUCCACAAACCUCUCUUCUUAGUAUGUACUCUAAGUGUGGCCUAAUUGAAGACUCUUUGAAGGUUUUUAAUGGGAUUUUGAAUCCAAACAAUGUGGCUUGGACUGCAAUCAUUGGUUGUUUGUUGCAUAGUCACAGAGAAGAGGAGGCUCUUUCGAUGUUUCGGAGCAUGAUUCUCAAUUCUGUGGCACCACCUAACGCUUUCACUUUAUCAACUACUCUCAGUGUCUGCUCAUCCCUCGCAUUGUUUGAACAAGGAAUGCUAAUCCAUGCUUAUGCUCUAAAGAGUGGCCUGGCUGAAAACAGAUUUGUGAUUUCUGCUCUUGUGGACACUUACGGCAAGUGCGGCCAUGUUGGGAUGGCCAGAAUGGUUUUUGAUAGUUUAUAUGCUCCUGAUUUGGUCUCCUUGAACUCCUUGAUCAAUGGUUAUGGUCAGAGUGGUAAUGGAGAGGAAGCUGUUCGAUUAUUUGAUAUGACAAAACGUUUGGGAAUCGAACCAAAUGAUGUCACUUAUGUUAAUGUGCUUUCUGCUUGCAGCAAUUCAGGAAUGCUUGAAGAAGGGCGUCGAGUUUUUUCAUUGAUGUUUACUGAUCACAGCCCUGGUCCAUCUAAUGAUCACUACGCCUGCAUGGUUGGCUUGCUUGGUCGUUCAGGGAGGUUAGAAGAGGCUGAAGAAUUGUUAAGUAAGGUGCAGAAACCAGACAAAGUUUUAUGGAGGACAUUGCUCGGUGCUUGCAAGAUUCAUGGAAAGCUAGAAAUGGCAAAAUGGGCUGCGAGAAAAGUGCUUGAACUUGAUCCUGGAGAUGAGGGAACUUAUAUUCUGUUAUCAAACAUUUAUGCAUCUUUGGGUAAAUGGAAAGAGGUUAUCAACAUCAAAUGCUUGGUGCGAGAGAUGGGAUUUAAGAAAGACCCUGCGGUGAGUUGGAUUUAUGUUAAUAAGAAGAUUCAUACAUUUAUGGCUGGAGAUCAGUCUCACCCUGAUGGAGAGCUGAUCUACAAGGAGUUAGAGGAACUGAUCGAAAAGACAAAAGGCUUGGGAUAUGUUCCUGAUACUAGCUUUGUGCUGCAGCAAAUGGAAGAGUUUGAGAUGGAGAGGUCUUUGUUUUACCACAGUGAGAAGCUGGCUGUUGCCUUUGGGGUGUUGAGCAGCAGAGGAAAGACAUGCAAUACUAUCACCAUUUUCAAAAACCUUAGAGUUUGUGGUGAUUGUCAUAACUGGAUAAAGUUGGUGUCUAAGGUGAUAGGAAAGGAGAUCAUUGCCAGAGAUGCUAAAAGAUUUCACAACUGCAGGGAUGGAUUGUGUUCUUGUGGAGAUUAUUGGUGAUAUUUUCAGUAUCUCUGUUGAAUAGCAAACAGUUUUUUAGGAUUUCUUUUAUUCUUUGGAAUCAUUCGGCAAGGAAGAGGAGACAUAUGCACUGCACCUCCCUCGAUAUCAUGGUUGGAUUAUUUUGAAUGUGCAAAAGUGAACAUUUUUGGGAGAGAACUGAUAACGAGAUAAGUCAACAAGCAUACUUGAUCAUCUUGGAGUAAGUGCUGAACAAGCUCUUAUGUCUCCCAGAAAUAAC